GCAUAUCAAUAAGCGGAGGAAAAGAAACCAACCGGGAUUGCCUCAGUAACGGCGAGUGAAGCGGCAAGAGCUCAAAUUUGAAAGCUGGCCCCUCCGGGGUCCGCAUUGUAAUUUGCAGAGGAUGCUUCGGGCUCAGCCCCCGUCUAAGUGCCCUGGAACGGGCCGUCGGAGAGGGUGAGAAUCCCGUCUGGGACGGGGUGCCUGGGUCCAUGUGAAGCUCCUUCGACGAGUCGAGUUGUUUGGGAAUGCAGCUCUAAAUGGGUGGUAAAUUUCAUCUAAAGCUAAAUACUGGCCGGAGACCGAUAGCGCACAAGUAGAGUGAUCGAAAGAUGAAAAGCACUUUGAAAAGAGAGUUAAACAGCACGUGAAAUUGUUGAAAGGGAAGCGCUUGCGAUCAGACUCGCCUGCGGGGUUCAGCCGGCAUUCGUGCCGGUGUACUUCCCCGUGGGCGGGCCAGCGUCGGUUCGGGUGGCCGGUCAAAGGCCCCGGGAAUGUGUCGCCCUCCGGGGCGUCUUAUAGCCCGGGGUGCCAUGCGGCCUACCUGGACCGAGGAACGCGCUUCGGCUCGGACGCUGGCGUAAUGGUCGUAAGCGACCCGUCUUGAAACACGGACC
rnacentral:rRNA from 2 species